UACGUAGGUGGCAAGCGUUGUUCGGAAUUACUGGGCGUAAAGGGCUCGUAGGCGGCCAACUAAGUCAGACGUGAAAUCCCUCGGCUUAACCGGGGAACUGCGUCUGAUACUGGAAGGCUUGAAUCCGGGAGAGGGAUGUGGAAUUCCAGGUGUAGCGGUGAAAUGCGUAGAUAUCAGGAGGAACACCAAUUGCGAAGGCAGCUCGCUGGGACGUUACUGACGCUGAGACGCGAAAGCGUGGGGAGCAAACAGG
rnacentral:rRNA from 1 species